AUUUGGUGUUGAGGGCAACUUGUACACAAUUUCUUAAAUCUCUCCUAAUAUUCAUAGAGAGAUUUCCCAUGUUGCUGUUUAAUACCACAUAUCUCUUUUCUUAGAUU